rnacentral:rRNA from 1 species
GCAUUUAUACUGCGAAACUGCGAAUGGCUCAUUAAAUCAGUUAUCGUUUAUUUGAUAGUACCUUACUACUUGGAUAACCGUGGUAAUUCUAGAGCUAAUACAUGCUAAAAACCCCGACUUACGGAGGGGUGUAUUUAUUAGAUUAAAAACCAAUGCCCUUCGGGGCUCCUUGGUGAUUCAUAAUAACUUCUCGAAUCGCAUGGCCUUGCGCUGGCGAUGGUUCAUUCAAAUUUCUGCCCUAUCAACUUUCGAUGGCAGGGUCUUGGCCUGCCAUGGUUACAACGGGUAACGGAGGGUUAGGGCUCGACCCCGGAGAAGGAGCCUGAGAAACGGCUACUACAUCCAAGGAAGGCAGCAGGCGCGCAAAUUACCCAAUCCCGAUACGGGGAGGUAGUGACAAUAAAUACUGAUACAGGGCUCUUUUGGGUCUUGUAAUUGGAAUGAGUACAAUUUAAAUCCCUUAACGAGGAACAAUUGGAGGGCAAGUCUGGUGAGCAUCUGCUGGUGCCAGAGAUAGUGAGGCCCUGUAAAUUUCACUAGUCGAAUGCAUCCAUUGGUGGCGGGUGGAUGCCGGCGAGACAACCUGGAUCGGGGAAGGCUAAGGGCCUAAUUGCCUAUGCUAAUCCCGAGCGGAGCUACCCUGUGAGGGGUAGCCCGUGUAGAGCGCGGAAAGGUGUCGGUCCUGCGGUCUUCCGCAGGGCUUAAGGGACGUGCCAGCCCCUACAGAAAUGUAGGCCAGAUACUCGAGCGCCCGCCGCGCAAAGGUGUCUGGGUACUGCCGAAUGUCGCAGUAUAGUAUCUUAUAUAAUAAACGGCCAGCAGCCGCGGUAAUUCCAGCUCCAAUAGCGUAUAUUAAAGUUGUUGCAGUUAAAAAGCUCGUAGUUGAACCUUGGGCCUGGCUGGCCGGUCCGCCUCACCGCGUGCACUGGUUCGGCCGGGCCUUUCCCUCUGGGGAACCCCAUGCCCUUCACUGGGUGUGGCGGGGAACCAGGACUUUUACUGUGAAAAAAUUAGAGUGUUCAAAGCAGGCC